rnacentral:lncRNA from 1 species
GAAAUGUUCUCCAUUGAUACUAUCAUGAUUAAGAAAUAAAUAUUGGAGUAAAGAGAUGAUAAGAAGAACCUAAACAAAUGUUUUAUUUUCUUGGUCCCAUUUUCUUUCCUGUUCAGGUGAUCAGAAUUCCUUUCUUCUUUUCCUGCUGUUGCCCACCUAACGCACCCUCCAGUUUAGUCAUUCAUUCUUUACCCUUUUUGGAGGCUACCAUAUGCAAGGCACUGUUCUAGAUGCUAGAGAAAUAGCAGUAUCCAAGACAAAUAAAGAUGCUGCUUUGAUGAAGCUUACAUCCUAGUAUAGUGCUACCCAGUAGAACUUUCUGAGAUGAUAGAAAUAAAUUUCAAUUCAGUAGAACUUUCUGAGAUUAUGAUGAUCGUAUUGUGCUGUCCAAUACGGUAGACACCAGCCACAUGUGGCUACUGAACAUUUGAAAUGUUGGCAAGUGGCCUUUGUAUUGGACAGAUCAAUUCUAGAAGGUGAGAGAUACAGCAAGCUAGUAAACAAUCACAUUGGAGAAGUUUGGAAAAGGAUAGGUGGUACCAAAAAAUUGAACUGAAUAAUGUGAUAGUAACAUGGGGAGGAGGGCAGUAUUAGUUCCAGUGGUCAAGGAAGGGCUUCAUACAAACAACUGAGGUGAGACCAGGUGACAGAAACCAGCCAUAGGAUGAAGUGGGGAGAACAACAUCCUAGCC